rnacentral:ncRNA from 1 species
CAAGGUCUUGGUCUUAAACCUUUUAUUGUCUAAACCCCCUACUUAUACAUGCAAGCCUCACCACAACAGUGAAAUAGCCAUCCCCCAACCAACAGAGCAGGUAUCAGGCCAAUACACCCAAGACACCAAGCAGCCAAAGCCACACCCCCACGGGCCAGCAGCAGUAGUUAAUAUUGGGCCAUAAGCGCAAGCUUGACCUAAUAACGGAACUUUACCAGGGCCGGUUAAUCUCGUGCCAGCGACCGCGGUUACACGACAGACCCAAGGCAAUAUCCCCGGCGUAAAGCACGACUAAAAUCAAACAGUCACAUCAUUAAGGGUAAGGUCAAGCUAGGCUGUAAAAAGCCAUAAGCCACACCAAACACAAACCCUUAACCACAAACAACUUCAACUCGUGAAAGCAAGGACACAAACUAAGAUUAGAUACCUUACUAUGCCUAGCCGUAACAAAACAAUUAAAUAACUAAUUGUUCGCCAAAUAACUACGAGUGAAAACUUAAAAUUUAAAAGACUUGACGGUACUUCACACCAACCUAGAGGAGCCUGUCUAAUAACCGAUAAUCCACGAUUCAACCAACCCGCUCUGGCCUAACAGUCUAUAUACCGCCGUCGCCAGCUUACCUUGUGAAAGAAAUAAAGUAAACUUAAUAACACCACAUUAAUACGACAGGUCGAGGUGUAACUAAUGAGUGGGCAAAGAUGGGCUACAUUUUCUGACUCAGAAAACACGGAUAAACUAUGAAACUAGAAACUGAAGGCGGAUUUAGCAGUAAGCUAAGAACAGAAUGCUUAGCCGAAACCAACGCAAUGAAGUGCGCACACACCGCCCGUCAUCCCUGUAAAAAAGUAUAAAUUAUUCAUAAACAAAUUAUUGACCACAAAGCAGGGCAAGUCGUAACAUGGUAAGCGUACUGGAAAGUGCGCUUAGAAACAA